rnacentral:lncRNA from 1 species
CCCAAUCCCCAAUCCCCAAUCCCCAAUCCCCAAUCCCAAAUCCCCAAUCCCCAAAUCCCCAAUCCCAAAUCCCAAAUCCCCAAUCCCAAAUCCCCAAUCCUGACCCCAAUCCCCAAUCCCAAAUCCCCAAUCCCCAAAUCCCCAAUCCCAAAUCCCAAAUCCCCAAUCCCAAAUCCCCAAUCCCAAAUCCCCAAUCCCAAAUCCCAAACCCCAAACCCCAAACCCAAAUUCCCGAUCCCCGAUCCCCAAUCCCAAAUCCCAAAUCCCAAAUCCCCAAUCCCGUUGUAUUCCUGUUGUUUCCCGUUGUUUCCCGUUGUUAUCCCGUUGUAUUCCCGCUGUUAUCCCGUUGUAUUCCCAGUGUUAUCCCGCUGUCGUUCCCAUUGUUAUCCCAUUGUAUUCCCAUUGUAUUCCCGUUGUAUUCCUGCUGUAUUCCCGUUGUUAUCCCAUUGUUAUCCCAUUGUAUUCCCGUUGUAUUCCCGUUGUUUCCCAUUGUUAUCCCAUUGUUAUCCCAUUGUGUUCCCAUUGUUAUCCCGCUGUUUCCCGCUGUCAUUCCCAUUGUUAUCCCGUUGUUAUCCCGUUGUAUUCCCGUUGUAUUCCCGCUGUUUCCCGCUGUCGUUCCCAUUGUUAUCCCAUUGUGUUCCCGUUGUAUUCCCGGUGUUAUCCCGCUGUUACCCCAUUGUUAUCCCAUUGUAUUCCCGUUGUUUCCCGGUGUUAUCCCGUUGUUAUCCCGUUGUAUUCCCGCUGUUAUCCCGUUGUAUUCCCGUUAUAUUCCCAUUGUUAUCCCAUUGUUAUCCCAUUGUAUUCCCAUUGUAUUCCCGUUGUAUUCCCAUCGUUAUCCCAUUGUAUUCCCGUUGUAUUCCCGCUGUUAUCCCGUUGUAUUCCCGCUGUCGUUCCCAUUGUUAUCCCAUUGUAUUCCCGCUGUUAUCCCGUUGUAUUCCCGUUGUAUUCCCGCUGUUUCCCCCUGUCGUUCCCAUUGUUAUCCCAUUGUAUUCCCAUUGUUAUCCCGCUGUUAUCCCAUUGUUAUCCCGUUGUAUUCCCGUUGUAUUCCCGCUGUUAUCCCAUUGUAUUCCCGGUGUUAUCCCGCUGUUAUCCCGUUGUAUUCCCGUUGUAUUCCCGUUGUAUUCCCGUUGUAUUCCCGUUGUAUUCCCGCUGUUUCCCGCUGUCGUUCCCAGCAUGCCGGUGGUGGUGGAGGACGCCACGUCCUCGGCCAGCGUCACCCUGCGGGUGCAGCCCCACAUCACCAUCGGCACCCUCAAGGAACAGGUACGGGGACACACCUGGGCACACCUGGGGGGACAUGGGGACACACCUGGGGACACCUGGGGACACCUGGGGACACACCUGGGGGGACAUGGGGACACCUGGGGACACCUGGGGACACCUGGGGACACACCUGGGGACACCUGAGGACACA